AUUGAACGCUGGCGGCAGGCUUAACACAUGCAAGUCGAACGAUGAGUCUCUAGCUUGCUAGAGAUGAUUAGUGGCGGACGGGUGAGCAACAUUUAGGAAUCUGCCUAGUAGUGGGGGAUAGCUCGGGGAAACUCGAAUUAAUACCGCAUACGACCUACGGGUGAAAGGGGGCGCAAGCUCUUGCUAUUAGAUGAGCCUAAAUCAGAUUAGCUAGUUGGUGGGGUAAUAGCCUACCAAGGCGACGAUCGGUAGCUGGUCUGAGAGGAUGAUCAGCCACACUGGGACUGAGACACGGCCCAGACUCCUACGGGAGGCAGCAGUGGGGGAUAUUGGACAAUGGGCGCAAGCCUGAUCCAGCAAUGCCGCGUGGGUGAAGACGGCCUGCGGGUUGUAAAGCCCUUUAGGUGGGGAAGAACGGUGUCGGGUGAAUAGCCAGGCAUUAUGACAUUACCCACGGAAUAAGCACCGGCUAACUCCGUGCCAGCCGCCGCAGUAAAAC
rnacentral:rRNA from 1 species